GAUGAACGCUGGCGGCGUGCCUAAUACAUGCAAGUCGAGCGAACAGACGAGGAGCUUGCUCCUCUGACGUUAGCGGCGGACGGGUGAGUAACACGUGGAUAACCUACCUAUAAGACUGGGAUAACUUCGGGAAACCGGAGCUAAUACCGGAUAAUAUAUUGAACCGCAUGGUUCAAUAGUGAAAGACGGUUUUGCUGUCACUUAUAGAUGGAUCCGCGCCGCAUUAGCUAGUUGGUAAGGUAACGGCUUACCAAGGCAACGAUGCGUAGCCGACCUGAGAGGGUGAACGGCCACACUGGAAGUGAGACACGGUCCAGACUCCUACGGGAAGCAGCAGUAGGGAAUCUUCCGCAAUGGGCGAGAGCCUGACAGAGCAACGCCGCGUGAGUGAUGAAGGUCUUCGGAUCGUAAAACUCUGUUAUUAGGGGAGAACAAAUGUGUAAGUAACUAUGCACGUCUUGACGGUACCUAAUCAGAAAGCCACGGCUAACUACGUG
rnacentral:rRNA from 1 species